GACGAGGGGUCCUAGCGUUGUUCGGAAUCACUGGGCGUAAAGCGUAUGUAGGCGGCUUUUCAAGUCAGAUGUGAAAUCCCUUGGCUUAACCAAGGAACUGCAUUUGAUACUGCUAAGCUUGAGUAUGGUAGGGGAUGGUAGAAUUCCAGGUGUAGUGGUGAAAUACGUAGAUAUCUGGAGGAACACCGGCGGCGAAGGCGGCUAUCUGGACCAAUACUGACGCUGAGAUACGAAAGCAUGGGGAUCAAACAGG
rnacentral:rRNA from 1 species